GAUGAACGCUGGCGGCGUGCUUAACACAUGCAAGUCGAACGGAAAGAGCCUGCUCGUGUGGGGAGCUUGAGUGGCGAACGGGUGAGUCACACGUGCGUAACCUGCCUUUGACUUUGGGAUCACUUCAGGACACUGGGGAUUACACCGGAUUGGAGGUCCUGCUGCUUGGUGGGGGUUGGAAAGUUUCGGCGGUUGGGGAUGGACUCGCGGCUUAUCAGCUUGUUGGUGGGGUAGUGGCUUACCAAGGCUUUGACGGGUAGCCGGCCUGAGAGGGUGACCGGCCACAUUGGGACUGAGAUACGGCCCAGACUCCUACGGGAGGCAGCAGUGGGGAAUAUUGCACAAUGGGCGGAAGCCUGAUGCAGCAACGCCGCGUGCGGGAUGACGGCCUUCGGGUUGUAAACCGCUUUCGCCUGUGACGAAGCGUGAGUGACGGUAAUGGGUAAAGAAGCACCGGCUAACUACGUG
rnacentral:rRNA from 1 species